rnacentral:rRNA from 1 species
GCAAGUCGAACGCGAUUUUCUCGGUUAGCAAUAACUGAGGAAAUUGAGUGGCGAAUGGGUGCGUAACACGUGGGAAUUUAUCCGGAAGUGGGGGAUAGCUCGUCGAAAGGCGAAUUAAUACCGCAUAUGCCUGUAAGGGCAAAGUGGGGGACCGCAAGGCCUCACGCUAUCGGAGGAGCCCGCGCCCUAUCAGCUAAUUGGUGAGGUAAUGGCUCACCAAGGCUUAGACGGGUAGCUGGUCUGAGAGGACGACCAGCCACACUGGAACUGAGACACGGUCCAGACACCUACGGGUGGCAGCAGUCGAGGAUUUUUCUCAAUGGGGGCAACCCUGAAGGAGCGACGCCGCGUGGAGGAUGAAGGGCUUCGGCUCGUAAACUCCUGUCACCGACGAACAAGACAUCCGGAUUAAUAACUCGGAUGUUUGAUGGUAGUCGGAGAGGAAGGGGCGGCUAACUCUGUGCCAGCAGCCGCGGUGAUACAGAGGCCCCAAGCGUUGUUCGGAUUUACUGGGCGUAAAGGGUGUGUAGGGGGUUAGGUUAGUCUGACGUGAAAUACCGUUGCUCAACAACGGAACUGCGUCGGAUACUGCCUAGCUAGAGGUUCGGAGAUGAGGGCGGAAUUCUCGGUGUAGCGGUGAAAUGCGUAGAUAUCGAGAGGAACGCCGAUGGCGAAAGCAGCCCUCAAGACGAAAUCUGACCCUGAAACACGAAGGCCAGGGGAGCAAACGGGAUUAGAUACCCCGGUAGUCCUGGCAGUAAACGGUGCUCAUUAGAUGUAGGCGGAUUCGACCCCGCCUGUGUCGAACCUAACGGAUUAAAUGAGCCGCCUGGGAAGUACGGUCGCAAGAUUAAAACUCAAAGAAAUUGACGGGGGCCCGCACAAGCGGUGGAGUAUGUGGCUUAAUUCGAUGCAUCGCGAAGAACCUUACCUGGCCUUGACAUGCUUAGUUC